rnacentral:rRNA from 1 species
GUGGGGAAUAUUGGGCAAUGGGCGAAAGCCUGACCCAGCAACGCCGCGUGAAGGAAGAAGGUCUUCGGAUCGUAAACUUCUAUCCUUGGUGAAGAUAAUGACGGUAGCCGAGAAGGAAGCCCCGGCUAACUACGUGCCAGCAGCCGCGGUAAUACGUAGGGGGCAAGCGUUGUCCGGAAUGAUUGGGCGUAAAGGGCGCGUAGGUGGCCUGGUAAGUCUGGAGUGAAAGUCCUGCUUUUAAGGUGGGAAGUGCUUUGGAUACUGUCGGGGUUGAGUGCAGGAGAGGUAAGUGGAAUUCCCGGUGUAGCGGUGAAAUGCGUAGAGAUCGGGAGGAACACCAGUGGCGAAGGCGACUUACUGGACUGUAACUGACGCUGAGGCGCGAAAGUGUGGGGAGCAAACAGGAUUAGAUACCCGAGUAGUCC